rnacentral:lncRNA from 1 species
ACGCAGCAACUUCAGGAUGCCAGCAGCAGCAUCAGUGUGAAGUCCGUGACUGUCCUCCACAACAUGCUGCACCUGGCAGAUCGACAGAAGGCGGCACCCAUUGCCCUGCAGCUGCCUAAGCUCCUGCUGUCCUUCUUCUUAAACGAGUCUGCCCGGACAAGGCAGCUCUCCAUCCUUCUCUGUAAGGAUGCCAUGGAGGCUGCAGGGAACACCCACAGAGUGGAGAUGAAGAAGGAAGUGCGCAACAUCCUCCUGCCUCUCUUCUUCCACCUGCACGACAAGGAUCAGAGCGUGGCUCAGGCCUCCUGGGAAGCCCUUCUUUGCGCGGCCAACCUGCUGAAGCGCAGGCACCUCAGCUAUCUGCUGAAGACAGCACAGCCGCAGAGGAUUGGCGAGUGCCUGCUGGUGGGCCACAGCAGCAGAAUGAACCAGUUCCUGGAGCAGAGCCUGUCCUACCUGCAGAGCCCCCAGGAACCCCUGCGAGAGGCGGCCGUCAGGUUCCUUGGGGUUGCUGGGCUGUAUGUGAGAAAUGGGCACGAGGAGAAGCUGAACGCCGCCAUCGAGGCCCUGAGAAAUCUGGAGGUGAGCUGCCCUUCCAUUUCCACCCUGGCAGCUGAAGCUGUCCAGCGCCUGAGGACACCCCCUGUAGUCAGCCUGCAAACUCUUCGCUACCGGCUCAGCAGUGCGUGGGAGAGGAAGAUGCACUCCCUAAGAGCUGGCUGGCUGCGCUACUGCAGCUGUGUUCAGGGCUGACCCCAGCUCCAGCCCCGAGGCCCUGCACACCCCUUCGUGUGCUCCUUGCUGGGCCCUCUGCUGGCUUCCCUGAAAGACACAGCCCUCUUGCUUCACCGUGCUGUUACUGAAGGAAACCAGUGCACCAUCAUCGUCACUCGCA